UGCAGUCGAGCGGGGAAGGUAGCUUGCUACCUGACCUAGCGGCGGACGGGUGAGUAAUGCUUAGGAAUCUGCCUAUUAGUGGGGGACAACAUUCCGAAAGGAAUGCUAAUACCGCAUACGCCCUACGGGGGAAAGCAGGGGAUCUUCGGACCUUGCGCUAAUAGAUGAGCCUAAGUCAGAUUAGCUAGUUGGUGGGGUAAAGGCCUACCAAGGCGACGAUCUGUAGCGGGUCUGAGAGGAUGAUCCGCCACACUGGGACUGAGACACGGCCCAGACUCCUACGGGAGGCAGCAGUGGGGAAUAUUGGACAAUGGGCGAAAGCCUGAUCCAGCCAUGCCGCGUGUGUGAAGAAGGCCUUUUGGUUGUAAAGCACUUUAAGCGAGGAGGAGGCUACUUGGAUUAAUACUCUAGGAUAGUGGACGUUACUCGCAGAAUAAGCACCGGCUAACUCUGUGCCAGCAGCCGCGGUAAUACAGAGGGUGCGAGCGUUAAUCGGAUUUACUGGGCGUAAAGCGUGCGUAGGCGGCUUUUUAAGUCGGAUGUGAAAUCCCUGAGCUUAACUUAGGAAUUGCAUUCGAUACUGGGAAGCUAGAGUAUGGGAGAGGAUGGUAGAAUUCCAGGUGUAGCGGUGAAAUGCGUAGAGAUCUGGAGGAAUACCGAUGGCGAAGGCAG
rnacentral:rRNA from 1 species